AUUGAACGCUGGCGGCAUGCCUUACACAUGCAAGUCGAACGGUAACGGGCCUUCGGGUGCCGACGAGUGGCGCACGGGUGGGUAAUACAUCGGAACGUGCCCGAUCGUGGGGGAUAACGAGGCGAAAGCUUUGCUAAUACCGCAUACGAUCUACGGAUGAAAGCAGGGGACCGCAAGGCCUUGCGCGGACGGAGCGGCCGAUGGCAGAUUAGGUAGUUGGUGGGAUAAAAGCUUACCAAGCCGACGAUCUGUAGCUGGUCUGAGAGGAUGAUCAGCCACACUGGGACUGAGACACGGCCCAGACUCCUACGGGAGGCAGCAGUGGGGAAUUUUGGACAAUGGGCGCAAGCCUGAUCCAGCCAUGCCGCGUGCAGGAUGAGGGCCUUCGGGUUGUAAACUGCUUUUGUACGGAACGAAAAGCCUUCUUUUAAUACAGGAGGGUCAUGACGGUACCGUAAGAAUAAGCACCGGCUAACUACGUG
rnacentral:rRNA from 1 species